ensembl:lncRNA
ACUUAAGGGUUAGCAGUGGAGGAAAAGGUAUCUUGCUUCUAACCUGAGGCCUUCUAAAGUGGCUCCUGAAAUGUUUUCCAGAGAGUUUUUAAUGAUAAUAUAAAAUGCAGCUACUUCUCAGAUAAAUAUCCAUCAGAAAUUAAUAACAAAUGCAUCAUGUAGAAGCUCAAUAAGAAGAACCUGCCACCUAUCAUCAUAAAAUGGGAUGCAUUUCAGCAAGAAGACAACAGGAUGUUGACAACAGCAAGAAGACCCAGGAUGUUUCUAAACCUUCGUCAUGUAAUCAUUAAGAUCCACCGAAAAUGCAUAUAUUAUGGUAAAAGUCUAAGAUUAUAUAAUUAUUACAUCUUGUCUUCUCAUUAUUAUUCAUUGUAUGAUGCCAACUUAAACUCAUAGCAAAGUAUUAAGUCUCAACUAGACCCUCAGAGUCUUUCAAGGGCUGAGCUUCAAAGCUUGGGCUCAUCCAUUCCUUUUCAUGGAAGCACAAGUGUGCUGCAGAAGAUGUCUCUCUCAGAAAACUUUGGCUGUGCUGGAAUAGAGGUGAUCUGUCACACAGCACCCUCUUUGAGGGCUAAGGAUGGUUAACAAGAGAAGAUCCACCCAGUACAGCAGGGCAAGGUGAUGUUUGCCAACAGGCUUCCCAGCCUAGAGAAGUGAGGUUUAGACUCAAAAGUGAGGUACUCUGGCUGUAGUGAGAGGUAGAGGAUGAAGAGAGGUUGGAGCAACAAAAAGCUCAAGAAUAACAAAACUGGGUUUAAAGAGCCCAAAGAGUUUUCCACAAAUGUUUAUACAGUAAAAAGAAGGAAGAUCCAGAGCUCCACAUGUGGUUUCUGAGAUCUGAUACUGUUCAUAUAACUGAAAUGUGGUGGGAUGUCUUGUGCAAAUGCUUGGUUAUGGUGGAACAAAACCAAACGCCUUCUUUAAACAACAUAAGGAAGGCUUUACAUCACACAUCACAUUCUUGUUCCUUGGAGAUUUUAAUAUCCCUAACUUCUGCUGGAAGGACAACACAGAAGGACACAGGCAGUUAUGACGAUUUCUGGGAGAAGUUAGGGAGAACUUCAAGUACAGAGUGUGCCAGCCAGGGAUGAGUCAUGGCUGGGUCAUAUAUAAUUGUCUGAGAAUGUUGGAAAGUUUGGUGGAUAUCAGUCUUGUAGCUUUGGUAAAAAUAAGCCUGAUGAAAACAAGACAAUUUGGCCUAUUGAACCUGGAGAAGACAAGGCUCUAGGGAUUGUUAUCUAAUCUAUUAUCAGCCUUCCAGUUCCAGUGAGUAGCAUUUCGAGAAUAUAUGGUGGGAUGAUGGGAUACUAAGGUGAAACAAGAAAGGCUAAAGCUGGAGCAGAAGAUUGGACUACAGACCUGAGACUCUUUCUAAAUCAAAUGAUCCUGUAGUGAGGGACAAGGAGUAGGAGAUUACUGCAUGCCAGGAUUAAGACAGAUUUUGUUUUCAGUGAAAUGACACAAGUAUUCCAACAUGUAUUAAUGUAUUUAUUAUUUUAUUAUUGAAUUUAUUCUGCAACUGAAUGCAGAUAUUCUUAAGGCUGUCCAAAGAGUCUGUUAACACAGACACAAAGUCUUUACAUGUAUUAGAUUUUUACUUUGAUAAAUGAGUUUUCAGGAUUAUCCAUUACUUCAGAAGUAGACAACUACCUCUCUACUGGCUUGCUUAGGAUUUGUCUGCUGAGUGUGCUGAGUUCCUGAUUUAGAUGAUCUGUAAGUCCAUGAAUGGAUAAUUUAGCACAUGGUGAUUAAGAUCUAGGAUUUAAUCAAAACCUGAGCUAUGGCUACUUGAUCUCAUUAUGUGGUGAAGACAGACGUUGUGUAGCAGUUAAAACCUUAGAGAGAAAAACUGAAAAUAAUACAAGCAAAUUAGAGGGAAAAUAAAAGACGAAGUGAGGAUUUAAUCUAUUUCUGUACAAAAGUAGGAAUAAGUAAGUGCUGUCUCCUGCCUGUACUGAAAUUCCAAUUAUGUUAUUAUGUUAUGUAUUGUGUUCAUCUAGUGGUUGGGAGGGCCAUUUUACUUUUCAUUUUUAAACUUGAUUGUGAUAAUGUUUUUGUACUUGAAAGACAGUCUGCUGUAGGUAGGAUGUUCCACAUGCAAUGGAUCAGAACUCAAAUCAUUUUAGAAACAAACUAUAACAGACUACAUGUCAGCUUUCUUCCUAAAGAUCUCACAGGGCCUGCUCAUUUCAGAAACUCCUUUUCUCUGUCACUGCACAAUUAGCAAAGCAGCUCAUUAUGAAAUCUUUCAUUGUUAUAAAUAUAAGGAUUAAAAGGUGUUUUG